rnacentral:rRNA from 1 species
UACAGAGGUCUCAAGCGUUGUUCGGAUUCAUUGGGCGUAAAGGGUGCGUAGGCGGCGUGGUAAGUCGGGUGUGAAAUUUCCGGGCUUAACUCGGAAAGGUCAACUGAUACUGCGGGGCUAGAGUGCGGAAGGGGCAACUGGAAUUCUCGGUGUAGCGGUGAAAUGCGUAGAUAUCGAGAGGAACACCUGCGGCGAAGGCGGGUUGCUGGGCCGACACUGACGCUGAUGCGCGAAAGCCAGGGGAGCGAACGGG